rnacentral:rRNA from 1 species
UCCUACGGGAGGCAGCAGUGGGGAAUUUUGGACAAUGGGGGCAACCCUGAUCCAGCCAUGCCGCGUGCGGGAAGAAGGCCUUCGGGUUGUAAACCGCUUUUAUCGGGGAAGAAAUCCUCCGAGCUAAUACCUUGGGGGGAUGACGGUACCUGGAGAAUAAGCACCGGCUAACUACGUGCCAGCAGCCGCGGUAAUACGUAGGGUGCAAGCGUUAAUCGGAAUUACUGGGCGUAAAGCGUGCGCAGGCGGUCUUGCAAGACAGAUGUGAAAUCCCCGGGCUUAACCUGGGAACUGCAUUUGUGACUGCAAGGCUGGAGUGCGGCAGAGGGGGAUGGAAUUCCGCGUGUAGCAGUGAAAUGCGUAGAUAUGCGGAGGAACACCGAUGGCGAAGGCAAUCCCCUGGGCCUGCACUGGCGCUCAUGCACGAAAGCGUGGGGAGCAAACAGGAUUAGAUACCCUAGUA